rnacentral:rRNA from 1 species
GACGAACGCUGGCGGCGUGCCUAAUACAUGCAAGUCGAGCGAAGUUUUUCUGGUGCUUGCACUAGAAAAACUUAGCGGCGAACGGGUGAGUAACACGUAAAGAACCUGCUUCAUAGACUGGGACAACUAUUGGAAACGAUAGCUAAUACCGGAUAACAGUAUUUCUCGCAUGGGAGAUAUUUAAAAGUUGGUUAUGCUAACACUAUGAGAUGGCUUUGCGGUGCAUUAGCUAGUUGGUGGGGUAAAGGCCUACCAAGGCGACGAUGCAUAGCCGACCUGAGAGGGUGAUCGGCCACACUGGGACUGAGACACGGCCCAGACUCCUACGGGAGGCAGCAGUAGGGAAUCUUCCGCAAUGGGCGAAAGCCUGACGGAGCAACGCCGCGUGAGUGAAGAAGGAUUUCGGUUCGUAAAGCUCUGUUGUUAGGGAAGAAAGGAUAUGUAG